CUACGUGCCAGCAGCCGCGGUAAUACGGAAGGUCCGGGCGUUAUCCGGAUUUAUUGGGUUUAAAGGGAGCGUAGGCCGGAGAUUAAGUGUGUUGUGAAAUGUAGACGCUCAACGUCUGACUUGCAGCGCAUACUGGUUUCCUUGAGUACGCACAACGUUGGCGGAAUUCGUCGUGUAGCGGUGAAAUGCUUAGAUAUGACGAAGAACUCCGAUUGCGAAGGCAGCUGACGGGAGCGCAACUGACGCUUAAGCUCGAAGGUGCGGGUAUCGAACAGGAUUAGAUACCCUGGUAGUCCGCACAGUAAACGAUGGAUGCUCGCUGUUGGUACCUGGUAUCAGCGGCUAAGCGAAAGCAUUAAGCAUCCCACCUGGGGAGUACGCCGGCAACGGUGAAACUCAAAGGAAUUGACGGGGGCCCGCACAAGCGGAGGAACAUGUGGUUUAAUUCGAUGAUACGCGAGGAACCUUACCCGGGCUUGAA
rnacentral:rRNA from 1 species